AAUUCGUGAAAAUAAAAAGUGUGUCCCAAAAAAUGCAUGUGCGUGCGAUCAACAAAAAAAUCGCGAAAGUGUAGAAAAACAUGAAUAAAAAUGGCAUGAGUUAUAUGGGUGUGUAUGUAAAACAAAGAUUGCAGCAAAUCUAAAAAAACUUAUAAUUUGCCUAAAAUCUAAUGUGCGACACAAAAAGAAAUAUUGACAAAGUUCACAGAAUCGCAGAAUCGAAUUCCUAUGCCGACAAAUAAUGAAGAUUAAAAACAAAUAAGUUAAAAAUAAAAAAAAGGUUUAAUUGAUAACCUAUUGGGUUGCCCAAAAAGUAAUUGCGGAUUUUUUAAAAGAAAGUAAAUGCAUUUUUAAUAGAACUUAGAAUGAACUUUAAUCAAAUAUACUUUUUUACACUUUUAUUUCUAAAGAAAGCUAAAAGUAACAGCUGAUAACUGACAGAAGAAAGAAUGCAAUUACAGAGUCACAAGCUGUGAAAAAAUUUGUCAACGCCGGCUAUAUGAAAAAUCCGCAAUUACUUUUUGGGCAACCCAAUAUAAGUGCAGUGCCGUAAACAGCGUGGGUUUCGGAAAAAUGAUGGCGUCAGUCUAAUACACCCACAGGCGUAUAUACAAAAAACUCAACCAUAUGUCAAUGGUGCUAGUGCUUAAGAGUGUACUCGUGUAGUGUAUGGCAACGGUAUAAAACGCAAGUGUGCGUAACCCACUCAAAUGAUGAAUGGGGGUGGGGGGGAAUGUAUAACCAACAUUCCAAUAAGUGUAAUGGAGUGAACCAAGAGUGAAAUGAAAAUAAACAAAAAAAAAAAAAAAAUGGAAUGUCUGAAUUGGAACUCAAAGUGCCGAAAAAAAUGAUGAAGAAAAAAAAAAUAACAAAAGAAAGAAAAUAAGCCUAAAAAAAUCAAAUUAAAUUGAAAAUUAACCAAAAUAUUGUUGAUACCAACUAAUUAAGUGUACUAUGGUGGAGAUUAAAAAUGAUUUUGUGUCAAAGUGGAAAGUUAAUCAAAAUGAUGUGAAUGCGAUCGAAAAACGGAAGUUGCAAUAAAAAACAAGACAAAUUAGUUGUUGACUUCGUGAGUGGUGUAAACGAGUUCAAUGGCCUGAUGCGUAAAAGUGAAAAGAAAAAGUUCAAGGACCACAGUCCAAAGCCCUCAGCCAAGCUGAAAAAGGCCAUCCAGAAGCAGAGCUAAUCAGGCCAGAACCAGGGCUAAGGCUUAGCAGAUGGUGACAGUAGGUAAUGAUGGAUCCUCUGCUGAACUGUCCCUCCGUACUCCAUCUGUUUGUAAGAAUUCUUUUUAAAUUGCAGAUUUAUUUGCAAUUGUGUUAAUUUCUUUUUUGAAGGCAGCACUAUCGGCUUGCGUUAAUGGGACAAAAAAAAACCAUAAAAAAACACCAAAGCUACCUACAAUGAGCUCACCCUAGGCGCUUCGGGCACCUUUCCUACCAAAGCUGGAAAAGGAUACUGAAACAAAAGGCAGUCAGGUCUGGAGUCUGUCUGUCCAAAGUUAAAAAGGUGAUCAACCGUCCGCAUAGGGUUCUUUACAUGAGCAUGUCGGUGUGAGCAUGCCAGUUUACUGCGCCUCCCACGAUUACUGGAGCGGUGAUGGUGACUGGACGUGUUCGGUGACCGAAUGGAUGCUUGUAUAGUUGUUGAUUUUAUUCGUAUUUCGUAGAUUUAAUUAAUUCAUUAGCUUGUCGGUAGUUCACAGAUAGUUGUAAGUCUUUAGUUUUUUUUCUUCCUGCUUUUAUUAAUAUGCAAUCUUAAGCUUUUCUUUCUCUAGUUUGUAAGACUUCAGUUUAUCUUUUUUCAAUUAGUUUGUAAGCUUUCUUACUUUAGCUUGUAAGGUAUUAGGUUAUUUAUCUUUUUAUGUCCGUGUUCAAGCGAUUCAUCACACGUUAGGGUACUUUGUCGUGUACAAUAGUGGCAUUACUCACACGUCCAUUAGUGGCACAAAAUAUAAUUCAUAAAAACAAAAAAAUGGACUAAAGCCUUGUUUUUGUACUUUGUUUGUUUCACCAGGCUAUUUUUUAAUUGGUUCGGUGCGCAACUCGGUAAGGCUUUUGGAAAGUUUUGCUUAUGUAACUUAAAUCAAUGCAAAUACUACAAAACGUAAUUAUACUUACAAAUAAAAGCUGCAUUAAUUCUUUUAAACUA